CAGCUAGUGACCAAAUGUUAAAAUGGUUGGGUAAUGAAAUAUCUGCAAGAAAACAAUCAAGACCCCACAAUUGCCAAGCACACAAACUGCAAUCAUAAGACCACAGGGGUGAUAUAUUGGUCAAACAUAAUCCCAGUAGG